ensembl:snoRNA SNORA62 Small nucleolar RNA SNORA62/SNORA6 family
GCUGUACGCUAUUAAAGCUCAGAGUGGAGGCCACCCUUGGCCAGUGAAUUUCUGAGUGUCGAAAGUGUGCUACCUUGAAUAUACGGCAGAAUUUUUGCUAACAUGCCUAGAACUUGCCUCUGUGACUGGAGUUUGAUAGUGGUCACUGCUACAUCC